rnacentral:rRNA from 1 species
CACGUAGGCGGAUCGUUAAGUGAGGGGUGAAAUCCCAGGGCUCAACCCUGGAACUGCCUUUCAUACUGGCGAUCUCGAGUCCGGAAGAGGUGAGUGGAACUCCUAGUGUAGAGGUGGAAUUCGUAGAUAUUAGGAAGAACACCAGUGGCGAAGGCGGCUCACUGGUCCGGUACUGACGCUGAGGUACGAAAGCGGUGGGGAAGCAAACA